UGCACCGGCCGGACGGUCGCGAUCAUCGGUAGCCGCAAGGAGACUGCUGACCGAGGAAAGUCCGGGCUCCGCAGGGCGGACCGCCAGGUAACCCCUGGGCGCGCUUAACGGCGUGACGGAAAGUGCCACAGAAAACAAACCGCCCGUAGCCGUUUAGGUGCGGGUAAGGGUGAAAUGGUGGGGUAAGAGCCCACCGCGCGACUGGCAACAGGAGCGGCACGGUAAACCCCGGUUGGAGCAAGGCCAAAUAAGCGGUGAGGGACGGCCCGUCCCGACUGAGCCGCGGGUAGGCUGCUUGAGCGCGCGGGUGACCGCGGGCCUAGAGAAAUGACCGUCCGGUUGCCGCCUCGAUUCGUCGGGACGACAACCGACAGAACCCGGCUUACAGGCCGGUGCACUGA
rnacentral:RNase_P_RNA from 1 species